ensembl:lincRNA
AUGUGUUUAGUAUGUGUGUGUCUGUGUGUGUCUGUGUGUCUGUGUGUCUGUGUGUGUCUGUGUGUCUGGGUGUGUGCCUGUUGUCUGUGUGUCUGUGUGUUGUCUAUAUGUCUAGUAUGUGUGUGUCUCUGUGUGUGUCUGUGUGUCUGUGUGUGUGUUUUCUGUGUGUCUGUGUGUCUGUGUGUGUGCCUGUGUAUGUGUCUGUGUGUGUGUGUUAGUCUGUGUGUGUGUCUGUGUGUGUGUCUGUGUCUGUGUGUGUGUGUGUGUGUGUGUGUGUCUGUGUGUGUGUGUGUGUGUGUGUGUGUGUGUGUGUGUGUGUGUGUCUGUGUGUGUGUCUGUGUGUCUGUGUGUGUCUGUGUGUCCGUGUCUGUGUGUCUGUGUGUGUGUCUGUGUGUCUGUGUGUCUGCCUCUGUGUGUCUGUGUGUCCGUCUCUGUCUGUGUGCCUGUGUAUCUCUGUGUCUGUGUGUCUGUGUGUGUGUCUGUGUGUGUCUGUGUGUCCGUGUCUGUGUGUCUGUGUGUGUGUGUGUCUGUCUCUGUGUGUCUAUCUCUGUGUGUCUGUCGCGGUGUCUGUCUGUGUGUGUCUGUGUGUCCGUGUCUGUGUGUCUGUGUGUCUGUCUGUGUGUCUGUCUCUGUGUGUCUAUCUCUGUGUGUCUGUCUCUGUGUCUGUCUGUGUGUGUCUGUGUGUGUCUGUGUCUUUGCGUGUCUGUUGUGUCUGUGUGUCUCUGUGUCUUUGCAUGUCUCUGUGUGUCUGUGCGUCUCUGUGUUUAUGCGUGUGUGUGUCUUUGCGUGUCCCUGUCUGUGCAUGUCUGUGUCUGUGUGUGUCUGUGUGUGUCUUUGUGUGUCUGGUGUGUGUGUCUCUGUGUAUGCAUGUCUGUGCAUGUCUGUGUCUGUGCGUGUCUGUGCGUGUCUGUGUGUGUCUGUGUGUGUCUUUGUGUGUCUGGUGUGUGUGUCUCUGUGUAUGCAUGUCUGUGCAUGUCUGUGUCUGUGUGUGUGUCUUUGCAUGUCUCUGUGUCUCUAUGUGUGUCUGUGUGUGUGUGUAUGUGUCUUUGUGUGUCUGUUCUGUGUCUGUGUGUGUCUGUGUCUGUCUGCAUGUCUGUUGUGUAUGCGUGUCUGUAUGUGUGUGUCUUUGCGUGUCUCUGUCUUUGCAUGUCUCUGUGUGUGUGCGUGUCUGUGUGUGUCUUUGUGUGUCUGGUGUGUGUGUCUCUGUAUGCAUGUCUGUGCGUGUUUGUGUCUUUGUGUGUCUCUGUGUGUGUGUCUUUGCGUGUCUGUGUCUUUGUGUGUCUCUGUGUGUGUGUCUUUGCGUGUCUCUCUGGUAUCUCUGUCUGUGCAUGUCUGUGCGUGUCUGUGCAUGUCUGUGUGUGUCUGUGUGUGUCUGGGGCGCUGGCUGGAGCACUGCCCGGUGUGUGGGUCCCUGGCAGCCCCAGGCAGAGGGGCGGCUGUGUGCUCCACGGGCUCCAUCAGGGAAGAAGGGGCCCCGAAGGCCAGCAGGGUGUGUGUGUGGAGGGGCCACUCUGCCCAGUGUGCCAGGCCAGGCACCUGGGUGGGGCGGCCGGCUGGGCUGGAGGGACCCGCUGCUGCUCCAGGCCCGGGGCCUGCUGCUUGAUGGCGCCCCGAGUCCUGCUGGAGAGUGGGGUCCCCUUCUCGCCCUGGGACUGGAGGGGACUCAAGUGCUUGACUCUAAAUGUCUGCUGUUCCCGGCUUCCUGGGUGGCGCUAGCGCUAAAAGAAAGAUAGGAAAGAAAGUGAAGUUGCUACGUUGCGUCCAACUCUGUGAUCCCAGGGACUGCAACCUGCCAGGCUCCUCUGUCCACAGGAUUCUCCAGGCAAGAAUCCUGGAGCUGGUAGCCAUUCCCUCCUCCAGGGGAAUCUUCCCAACCCAGGGAUCGAAUGCCAGUUUCCUGCAUUGCAGGCAGGUUCUUUACCAUCUGAGCCACCAGGGAAGACCCAAAGCUAAAUACUGGAACAAAACUGAUAGUCAACAAGUACCAUAAGGGAGAGCUGAAGAGAGAGUUCAAGAGAGA